ACAAGGUUUCCGUAGGUGAACCUGCGGAAGGAUCAUUGCACACACGAGUUGCAGCCAACCCGCGGCGAACGAACCCAUUGUCCCUCCGGGUCGGUCGUGGCGCCUCGCGGCGUGGCGGCCGGCCACCUCCCUUCGUCACGAGCUUCGUCACGAACUCGCGGCGUCGGGUUUUCACGCGAUGCCUUCACCAUGACCGAAUGACUGAGUCCCUUUGUGCUCCAUGGGAAUGAGCGAGUUCCGUCCCCCUUAUGCUUAUGGAGGGGGUCGGCGCUGGUUACCUUGCGAGUUGUGAAACUUAAAAAGUCAAAACAACUCUCAGCAACGGAUAUCUUGGCUCUUGCAACGAUGAAGAACGCAGCGAAAUGCGAUACGUAUUGUGAAUUGCAGAAUUCCGCGAAUCAUCGAGUCUUUGAACGCAAGUUGCGCCCGAGGCUUGUCCAAGGGCAUUUCCGCUAGAGCGUCACCGCGUCCCCCCACCGCUCCACUCCCGCGGGGAGUGCGUGUCGAGUGAAAGUGGCCAUCCCGGUGGGCCUCUCCUGCCUCGGACUUGGACUUGGGAGGAGGAAGGCCUGAAGGGUUGGCUGAAAUGUCGGGAAUCGGGCCGCCGUGGUGACGCAGUCCGCGAUCGGGUGAUUUCCGGGCUCUUCCGCGGGAGCCCGGAAUAUUUCUAAGUGCGUGGCUGCGUCGCCCAGUCGGUUUCGGGGUUACCUCCAGUGGCAGGUCGAGCGCGCCCCCGCGGGGGCGCGCGUCACGCCUCAGACCUCUAAUCGGGAAAGACUACCCGCUGAGUUUAAGCAUAUC
rnacentral:rRNA from 1 species